rnacentral:rRNA from 1 species
GCCGCGUUAGUGYUAAGGUAGCAUAGUAAUUAGUUUCUUAAUUGGGAAAUGGAAUGAAUGGUUUCACUAAAAUAUGAUAUUUAUUCUAAUUUGCGAAAUUUUAAUCUGAGUGAAAAUACUCAGAAGAUAUAUUUAGACGAGAAGACCCUAUGAAGCUGGUAGACUUCCAAUGUAAUUAUACGAUAGUUCAUGAGUUUAUUUUUUGGGGUAAAAUUUAAUAACAGUAUUAAUAUUGGCUUACUAAAUAAUAUCCUCUUGGAAUUAUGAAAAAGCUCCUCUAGGGAUAACAGCAUUAUGCUUAAAAGAGUUCUUAUCAGAAUAAGCGUUUGUGACCUCGAUGUUGAAUUAAAUACUCUUAUAUGUGCAGGAGCUUAUAAGAGAUGGUCUGUUCGACCAACUACAUUUACAUGAUUUGAGUUAAAAUCGACGCAAGUCAGAUUGGUUUCA